rnacentral:misc_RNA from 1 species
UGACCAUCACGUGUCGAUGCUCCCGAGCGGUCCGCAAUUCGUCUAAACGAAUUCGAGGCUUUCAAUUGGUCAACUUCACCGCAGUACUUAUUCAACUUCCGACCACGAAGGGCAGGAGUUACAUGGCAUCGCACAAUUCGUUUACAGGUACUCUGAGAUGCUGUCGCCGCAGUUAUGACCCCCUGGACUUCCCCUGUUCAUCAGGGGGAGUCCAGGGACCCGUCCCCUGG